rnacentral:rRNA from 1 species
CAGUCGCCGCGGUAACACAGAGGGUGCGAGCGUUAAUCGGAUUUACUGGGCGUAAAGCGUGCGUAGGCGGCUUUUUAAGUCGGAUGUGAAAUCCCUGAGCUUAACUUAGGAAUUGCAUUCGAUACUGGGAAGCUAGAGUAUGGGAGAGGAUGGUAGAAUUCCAGGUGUAGCGGUGAAAUGCGUAGAGAUCUGGAGGAAUACCGAUGGCGAAGGCAGCCAUCUGGCCUAAUACUGACGCUGAGGUACGAAAGCAUGGGGAGCAAACAGGAUUAGAGACCCCCGUAGUCCCUGUCUCUUAUAA